rnacentral:rRNA from 1 species
GGAGGGUGCAAGCGUUGCUCGGAAUUACUGGGCGUAAAGCGUGCGUAGGCGGCGCUGCAAGUCAGACGUGAAAGUCCGGGGCUUAACCCCGGAAAGUCGUUUGAAACUGCAGCGCUUGAGUAUGGGAGAGGGGUGUGGAAUUCCCAGUGUAGGAGUGAAAUCCGUAGAGAUUGGGAGGAACACCAGUGGCGAAGGCGACACCCUGGCCCGAGACUGACGCUAAGGCACGAAAGCGUGGGUAGCAAACAGGAUUAGAUACCCUGGUAGUCCACGCCGUAAACGAUGAGUGCUAGGUGUUGUGGGGUUCGCCCUGCAGCGCCGGAGUUAACGCAUUAAGCACUCCGCCUGGGGGAGUACGGCCGCAAGGUUAA